rnacentral:rRNA from 1 species
AUUGAACGCUGGCGGCAUGCCUUACACAUGCAAGUCGAACGGCAGCACGGGUGCUUGCACCUGGUGGCGAGUGGCGAACGGGUGAGUAAUACAUCGGAACAUGUCCUGUAGUGGGGGAUAGCCCGGCGAAAGCCGGAUUAAUACCGCAUACGAUCUACGGAUGAAAGCGGGGGCCCUUCGGGCCUCGCGCUAUCGGGUUGGCCGAUGGCUGAUUAGCUAGUUGGUGGGGUAAAGGCCUACCAAGGCGACGAUCAGUAGCUGGUCUGAGAGGACGACCAGCCACACUGGGACUGAGACACGGCCCAGACUCCUACGGGAGGCAGCAGUGGGGAAUUUUGGACAAUGGGCGAAAGCCUGAUCCAGCAAUGCCGCGUGUGUGAAGAAGGCCUUCGGGUUGUAAAGCACUUUUGUCCGGAAAGAAAUCCUUGGCUCUAAUACAGUCGGGGGAUGACGGUACCGGAAGAAUAAGCACCGGCUAACUACGUG